rnacentral:tRNA from 1 species
GCAGCAAUAGUUCAGUCGGUAGAACGUUGGCUUCCCAAGCCGAAGGUCGCGAGUUCGAGUCUCGUUUGCUGCU